rnacentral:rRNA from 1 species
UACACGCUGUGACUAGCAUAUCAAUAAGCGGAGGAAAAGAAACUAACAAGGAUUCCCUCAGUAACGGCGAGUGAAGCGGGAAGAGCUCAAAUUUGAAAUCUUAAAGGUCUACCUUGCACGAAUUGUAGUUUAAAGAAGUGUUUUCUGUGACGAUCUGGUAAUAUAAGUUCUUUGGAAUAGGACAUCACAGAGGGUGAGAAUCCCGUCUAUGAUUGACCAUAUUUUAGCUUUGUGAUACACUUUCAAAGAGUCGGGAUUGUUUGGGAAUGCAGUCCCAAAACUGGGAGGUAAAUUUCAUUCUAAGGCUAAAUAUUGGCGAGAGUACCGAUAGCGAACAAGUACCGUGAGGGAAAGAUGAAAAGAACUUUGAAAAGAGAGUUAAAUAGUACGUGAAAUUGUCAAAAGGGAAGCGUUUAACACCAGUGUUGUUUUCUGAAAAUCAACCUCUGUUAGCUUUAUGCAUGUUUGUUUAGACCUAAUCAGCUAUCUUUCAUGUUCUAUUGUUUGCAGUGGUGCACUUUUCAGUUUACAGGUCAACAUCAGUUUUUUUUACCGUAAAAAAGUUAAAGAAAGGUAGCUCAUGGCUCCGGUCGUGAGUGUUAUAGUCUUUUUCCUAUGCGGUAGGAGAGACUGAGGUCUGCAGUGUAGGCUAUUUGGCUAGAUACUCAGGUGCUAUGUGAUACCAUUUCAUAAACAACUUGUUGAUUAUGUUUUGUCUAUUGCAUACUCGCUUGUACUAUCAUACCUACGCUUAGGAUGUUGAGUAGCGACAUACGCAC